AGCGAACGCUGGCGGCAGGCUUAACACAUGCAAGCCGAGCGGGCAUCUUCGUGGUGUCAGCGGCAGACGGGUGAGUAACGCGGGGGAACGUGCCCUUCGGUUCGGAAUAACUCAGGGAAACUUGAGCUAAUACCGGAUACGCCCUUUUGGGGGAGGGUUUAUCUGCCGAAGGAUCGGCCCGCGUCUGAUUAGCUGGUUGGUGAGGUUACGGCUCACCAAGGCGACGAUCAGUAGCUGGUCUGAGAGGAUGAUCAGCCACACUGGGACUGAGACACGGCCCAGACUCCUACGGGAGGCAGCAGUGGGGAAUAUUGGACAAUGGGGGCAACCCUGAUCCAGCCAUGCCGCGUGAGUGAUGACGGCCUUAGGGUUGUAAAGCUCUUUUCUCCGGGACGAUAAUGACGGUACCGGAGGAAUAAGCCCCGGCUAACUUCGUGCCAGCCGCCGCAGUAA
rnacentral:rRNA from 1 species